AAACAGCUCAGACACCCCGUCCUCUUCCUCGGAGAAUGAAGAGUCGACCUCCACACCUUCAUCCAACCCAUGCCCUCGACAAGCCUGAGGAGCAGAAAGAUAUGAUCAUCAGAAACAUUCAGUUUAAGAAAAAUCCACAGAGAAGCCAAGCUUGCUGAGGGUUUUGUGAAGUCUUUGAGUGUCUUUCUUCGCACCGUUCCUGUUGUUCAGACCUGCACCUGGAUAGAAGCUCUCCACAGACACUAUCAACGCCCUGUUCUUCAUUCUCUUGUUUGCUGACAAAGGAAUUUUACAAGACAUCGUUUUCUCUUCAAUCAAACACUGAGGUGUAAUGCGGUCACAAACUGUGUGAGAAUAAGGAGAGCCUACUUUAUGAGUCUGACUGAUCAUCUGUCUCUCAUGCCCUAUAUGGAGUUUCCUCCCAUUUUCUGUCAUCAGUCUGAUCUACGCAACACUGGCAAUUCCUUGACUAUCAGAAGCUUCAUCUUUAGCUUAUAAAAAGGCAAUUUACUUCA